UCAUGAUGUCAGGUUAUAUUUUGGGUUUAGUUGAUGGUGAUGAUAAAUUAAAAAGCAAAGAGAACGAGACAAAUCAGUAGGAAAUAAUGAACUAUGUACCUCGUCUCCGUUUAUGACGUAUGCGUUCUUCCCUGUUCUAGAAAGCACGUUCUUUCUCCAGAUGGUCCAUGAUUUCUGAAAGUCAGGAAGUGAUCAAUUAAAUUGACACAUGCCAUAUCGAGGAUGGUGAUGCCAAUUAAAUGCAAAAGAGAAUGGGAGGAGUGAUCUGAAUCUCGUAAAUGUUUGGUUUAAUACGAGAGAAGAAUGCUACAUGUAGCCGUUACAGAUGCGUCGCCAGAGGCGUAGAGAUCCCAAGUAACACGACGGUUCUCCUACCUGCAACAACGAUAAAACCCUAAAGAUAAAUGGGUCUGUAUAUAUGUAUUAUGUCUAACUUUGAAGAAUAAACAAUUGCAUCAUAUUAUAAUGUUUUUAUAUACAUGCACAUUUGUUUUAAAUUUACAAUAUGAUCAACAUAUAAUGUAAACACAUUUUUAUUAGUAUUCAUGCAUUUCUUUUCUAUGCCCAAUAAUAGUUAAGACAACAAACGGGGCCGUAUAUAGAAGCUUUUCAGCCUAAAUCAAUCAGAGAGAGUACGUGCAAGGUAAUGAAAAUAUACAAAGAGUUUUGAGAUGAUAUUUGAAGAAUUCGAUUACGAUUUUGGUUAAGGUUCUGACUUUGAGGGAUCAUUGGUUGGUGGAUAUAUAUACCCGGGGCAGGAGGGUAAACAUGCAUGAUUGGGAGGUGGAUAGGCUGGAGCAGGAGGGUAGCCAUGACCAGGCUGUGGAUAGUAAGGCUGGAGGUAACCGGUGUGAAUAAGAUGACGGAUGUUAGCCUCAGACAGACAAAUAAUGAAUGAGACACCAACUGACAGAUCAAGCUAGUAAUCAAAUCAGAGUGAAACAAGUGGUUGAUGAUGUGUUGAUAUACAAGUGUGUGUGCCCCCUUUGGAGUUGCGGUUAUGUUUGGAUAUGGUAGCAUUGCCUUGGUAAAUGCAGAAAAACUUACGACAUCAGCAUCUUGGUGGGCACUUCGACAAUUCAUGUAUCACAAAAAUCAAAUCUUCAACUCUGAAAACUCAGGAAUUUAAUGUUGUGUUUUUUGGCCACAAAAUCAGAUGAUGCAUAUGAUAGAAUAGAUACAUACAUGAAGGUUGAUGCUUCUUUUUGCAUAAUUGGUUUGAGGAUGGUUAUGUAUGUAGAGAGCAAUCAGUUGGUAAUAAGGUUUGACGGUGACAUGAAAUAUAUGAAAAGAUUAAGAAAAUAACAUAACAAAUUUAUAAAAUAUUGAGCCUUGCAAACGUCCUCCAUUUUCUAUACACCAUAAACUCUCAAAUAAUAUUAAGCCUUGCAAGUUGUGUAGUGUAAAAACUUUCUAAGCUUGAAUGUUGAAAUUUUUGAUGUGGGUUUGGUCUGGUUCUGAGAAACAUGAGUUGUCUCAAGACAAGAUGUGGGACAUAUAAUUGGCCAACGAGCUAAAUGAUAAUAGUGUAAAUUAAUAGUGUGUUGUGAUGAAGGCUCUCACUGAAAGAGAGAGUUUGACUCCAUAGGAGAAUCGAAUCACGUUGGUUGGGUCAAAAGAGUCAUUAUCUUCAUCUUAAAGUUUGUUGUCUUUGUCGACAAGUUGAAAAAAAAAAAACAAGAGAGCUUGUGCGAGAGAGAAACAGAGAAGUGAGAAAGAGAGAUAGAGUGGAGUCACUCUUUGUGUAAUACUUCGAGAUCUGUUCUAGUGGAAGGUUGAGAAACAUUAUUUCUCUCUCCGGCCAACAAAAACAUAUCUCCUGUGUUCUUACUUUGUGCUUGAUAUAUAUAUAUAUCUGUGUGUGGUCUGGUCUUGAGGUUGUCAUUUGUAACGAUGGAUCAAUAAGGUGGAAUCGAACGCCUGGUAGCAGCAAUAUCCGAACAGGCUUCUGCAACUUCCAGAGAGUCUCCAGAAGACAAAACGUUUAAGAAAUCAUCAGAACUGAAGUCUUUCGACAUCUCAACAUGAAGAAAAAAAAAACAUGAAGAAAAAGAAGAAGCAGACCAUCAAUCUCAGGGUCAGUAACCGUUAAAACCAUCAAAUUUUUUUUUUUUUUUCAUUGGAAUCUGAAUGAAGCUCCAUCGCAAUAAGUAGCCAAUAAAAUUAUUUUAUACGUUCCAUCUUACGUCCUGCUCUAUUACAUUUUCUAUGAUGAUCUGUUGUUUGCUGAUACUUGUUUAAUUUGAUAAAACGAAGAAUAGACUUUCGAUACAUGUCUAGGCCAAUAGUUAAUUUAAUAGUACUUUCUCACUUUUUGAUGAUCCAUGGGAUCUUGGUGAUACGGCCCAUUGAGCCACCGAGGCCUUGGUUUAUUCCGUAGAGUGAGACCGCACCGAAGACAAAAGCUCCAGUGAAGUUCUUUAGACAGCAUCUUUAUCCAUCAGACUGGACCACACACUACAUUACGGAAUGUUUGCUUGAAGCGCAGAUCGUACAAAUGUUUUGAUUUAGUUAAGUCAAAGUACAUAGAUUUGAGAAUCAAGAUCUAGCUUUGGAUCAAAAAGCUCAAAAAACAAGAAUGAGAUUGGCAAAGAGGAAGCUUUGUUGACUUGGUUUCGUAAGAAUAACAAAUGCCAUCGAAGAAGAAGAUGGGAAGAAUGUAAACUUCAAAAGAAAUGAAAAAAAUAAAACACAAAUGAGAGCGACGUAAGGAAUGCUGCUAAAUUUGUUUGACCAAAUGUAAGAACAUUCUGUCUAUUUUUCUACUUUGUAUUUUCCAGCUUCACCUCAAAUAUAGAAACUGUACAUUUUUAUUUUUCUAAAACUAUUUAUCGAAUUUCUGGGGUUUUUAUUUA